CUAAUACAUGAACCUCGUGCCCCGACCAGUGAUGGAAGGGGCGCUUUUAUUAGAACAAAACCAAUCGGUCGGCUCGUCCGUCCGUUGCCUUGGUGACUCUGAAAUAACUUUGGGCUGAUCGCACGGUCCUAGCACCGGCGACGCAUCUUUCAAAUGUCUGCCUUAUCAACUUUCGAUGGUAGGGUUCUGC
rnacentral:rRNA from 2 species